AUCGAGCUGACGAGUUCCAAAUAGGACGAAACGAGCGUAAAACUGGAU
rfam:Schistosoma haematobium scaffold142_20, whole genome shotgun sequence.